rnacentral:rRNA from 1 species
CAGGAUGAACGCUAGCUACAGGCUUAACACAUGCAAGUCGAGGGGCAGCAUUGGGGUAGCAAUACUCAGAUGGCGACCGGCGCACGGGUGAGUAACACGUAUCCAACCUGCCGCUUACUCGGGGAUAGCCUUUCGAAAGAAAGAUUAAUACCCGAUGGUAUAAAGAGUUCGCAUGUUCUCUUUAUUAAAGAAUUUCGGUAAGCGAUGGGGAUGCGUUCCAUUAGAUAGUUGGCGGGGUAACGGCCCACCAAGUCUACGAUGGAUAGGGGUUCUGAGAGGAAGGUCCCCCACAUUGGAACUGAGACACGGUCCAAACUCCUACGGGAGGCAGCAGUGAGGAAUAUUGGUCAAUGGACGAGAGUCUGAACCAGCCAAAAGUAGCGUGAAGGAUGACUGCCCUAUGGGUUGUAAACUUCUUUUAUAAGGGAAUAAAGUGAGGGACGUGUCCCUUUUUGUAUGUACCUUAUGAAUAAGGAUCGGCUAACUCCGUGCCAGCCGCCGC